AAGGGCUAAAAAAAAAAACGAGAACGAGGUUACAUUACAUAUUCUUUUGGUCCAUGAGAAUCAUGUACCGUAUUCUAGGACACCGCUGGUUUGAGUAAAAUUAAAGUUUAGUCAGCUCACAGGUUGACAAAGCCGGUCGGCAUAUGUGAAGCGUGGCCUGAUUGCCACGAGCACAUGUUCGCAACAAGUUUCAGCACAUUUUAAUGUAAAACAAUUCCCAUCGAUGGAAGUGCCGGAUUCAGUGGAAAUUACGACAAAUCGGGACUAUAAUCAACGUGCGUACCUCAGCAGGAUGAACGGGCGUAAUGGUAGAGAAAGCGGAUGUCACCCUGGCGCAGGCAAGGAUGCCAGGAAAUACGAGAUGUCUCUAAUGCCAACCAAUCAACUCGCGACCAUCAUCGCACGUGCGUUCCGAAAUCCACACUUCGUGUUGUUGGUAAUUUUAUUCUCUUUCACGCUCUCGAGUUUAUGACUGGCUGUGCCUCUAUCUUAGGAAGUUUUUAGCGCUGCCAACAAAUUUCGGAACGCACCGUAAAUAAUCCAAUCUAGGGAUCCUAGGCCAAACUUUCGCCUACUCAUCUCUGUUAUUAGUAGGUAACCGCACUUUUCAAACACUCAACUAAGGAGAUUUUAUUUAUUGAAAUAUUGGUAUAAUAAUCAUUACGUAUAAUAUACUUCCUGAAUCAAGUAAAUCUGUCAGCAUUGUUGUUUCUUAACUAAAAUUUCUCAUGCCCAGGGACGAAAAUAAUUUCGAGAUAUGUACUUACAUUCACACAUUGACUGUGGAAUUCUUCAGUUAUAUCGAGGUAUCUCUAAGUAACGAUAGUGUUGCACGUGAUUCUUUAUUCUACAAUAUUGAGCUACACUAAAAAAUAUGCCUGUACACGUUCACCAAUUGUAAAAUUAUAUAGCAUUAACAGAUAGAGUUAAAUUAAAUUUGUUAUGAACGUACAAGUGACUUACCAGAGUAACUUGACCUUAUGAAGUUAUAGGUAAUUUUACCAUUCGCACACAAAAAAAAAUAUGAAAUUGAAACUUUAAUAUUAUUAUUAUUAUUAUUGAAUACUGCGCUUAAGUGUGAAGUAACCAGACGCUACAGAACAAACUGCCCUCACAUUUAUAGAUACAAUUAAAAUGUUUAAACAAGAAAAAAAAACCGAAUACAUUUACAUGAAUAAGUUCUUUAAUAGAUGAAAAAUGUACAUGUGCAGGCAGUUUAUUUUGUACAAUUACACUCCGACAUUGAUUUGGGGGGUCUGCGCAAUCAUUUAUGUAUAAAAAUAUAAAGUAGUAGUGAAAAUUUUCAUCUCCGUAAUUAGAAAUAUUGAAGCUUUUUGUUUCUGAAGAUUAGUAUUUGUAUUCAUCGUACUCCUUUUAAGACGUAAUUAACCACUACGUAUGUACAGUUGCUUAAAUUUAAACAAGUCAAUUGAGAUACCUUACAAGGAUAACGUACAGAUACUGAUCUAUUGUAAUAGUCCUUCAUUUUCUUCCAACUCUUAAUUUAUAAUUAUUAUAGAACCCCCUUUUUCGAAUCCUUGGAACAGAAAUGUUGGCCUGCUUGAACUUGUUAAAAUUUAAAUAAUAAUCUGAGGUAGCACGCUUAUUGUACUUUUGAAAUAAAUGACCUUACUAAGUGCCAGUAUUCUGUGUCCUCAGAAAGCACAAUCAUAUUAAGUUCCAGCUUUGAAAAUGCAUGAUGUGUACGUAUAUAUCUUAUUAAGGUGGGAUCACAUAUAAUUAAUUUCAUCCGCACUUAAAAGUUCAAUAGUUAUUCGUUUUGUGCUUAGAAAUAUCAUUCAAUGAUCACAAAAGUUUCUUCCACUUUCUUGGUUUUUCUUUUUAUCAACUUCUACCUACUACUUUUCUCACUUUUCGACACAUAAAAAAAAGCUUAUAGAAAAAUACUAUAGACCUAUCCAUAAAAAAUAAUACAUAAUUAAAAUUAACAACAGGUUGUCUGGAUACCUAGCUAGCAGUAAUUAUAAAAAGUGUCUUCAAAAAAGUU